rnacentral:rRNA from 1 species
UACGGAGGGUGCGAGCGUUGUCCGGAAUCAUUGGGCGUAAAGGGCGCGUAGGUGGCCCGGUCAGCGUGCGGUGAAAGCUCGGGGCUCAACCCCGAGUCGGCCGUGCGAACUGCUGGGCUUGAGCACUGUAGAGGCAGGCGGAAUUCCGGGUGUAGCGGUGGAAUGCGUAGAGAUCCGGAAGAACACCGGUGGCGAAGGCGGCAUCCUGGACCGAUACUGACACUGAGGAGCGAAAGCCAGGGGAGCAAACGGG